rnacentral:rRNA from 1 species
UACGAAGGUGGCAAGCGUUGUUCGGAUUUACUGGGCGUAAAGGGAGCGUAGGUGGUUAGGUAAGCCCUCCGGGAAAUCUUCAGGCUUAACCUGAAAAGGUCGGGGGGGACUGCCUGGCUAGAGGACGGGAGAGGAGCGCGGAAUUCCCGGUGUAGAAGUGAAAUUCGUAGAUAUCGGGAAGAACACCUGAGGCGAAGGCGGCUGUCUGGCGGUGUAUCGACGCUGAGGCGCGAAAGCGUGGGGAGCAAACAGG